ensembl:snRNA U6 U6 spliceosomal RNA
GUGCUCCUUUUGGAAGCGCAUACAGAAAAAUGAAAUGAUACAGAGAAGAUUAGCAUGGCCCUGCACAAGGGUGACAUGCAAAUUUGUAAAGCAUUUGACUAAAAA